AGCCUACGGGACGCAGCAGUGGGGAAUAUUGCACAAUGGGGGAAACCCUGAUGCAGCGACGCCGCGUGAGUGAAGAAGUAUUUCGGUAUGUAAAGCUCUGUCAGCAGGGAAGAAAAUGACGGUACCUGACCAAGAAGCCCUGGCUAACUACGGGCCAGCAGCCGCGGUAAUACGUAGGGGGCAAGCGUUAUCCGGAUUUACUGGGGGUAAAGGGAGCGUAAACGGCAGGGCAAGUCUGGGGGGAAAGGCGGGGGCUCAACCCCCGGACUGCUCUGGAAACUGCCAGGCUGGAGGGCAGGAGAGGG
rnacentral:rRNA from 1 species